GCUUCGGCGGCUUAAUGGUUAGAGCGUCCGCCUUGGAUGCGGGAGGUCGUGACGUUUGAUCCCUCAGUCGAGUCA